rnacentral:rRNA from 1 species
GACGAACGCUGGCGGCGUGCUUAACACAUGCAAGUCGAGCGGUAAGGCCCUUUCGGGGGUACACGAGCGGCGAACGGGUGAGUAACACGUGGGUGACCUGCCCUCAGCUCUGGGAUAAGCCUGGGAAACCGGGUCUAAUACUGGAUAUGACUCCAUGACGCAUGUUGUGGGGUGGAAAGCCUUGUGCGGCUGAGGAUGGGCCCGCGGCUUAUCAGCUUGUUGGUGGGGUGANGGCCUACCAAGGCGACGACGGGUAGCCGGCCUGAGAGGGCGACCGGCCACACUGGGACUGAGACACGGCCCAGACUCCUACGGGAGGCAGCAGUGGGGAAUCUUGCGCAAUGGGCGAAAGCCUGACGCAGCGACGCCGCGUGAGGGAUGACGGCCUCGGUGUAACGU